rnacentral:tRNA from 1 species
UCCCUGAUGGCUCAAUGGUAAAGAAUCUGCCUGCAAUGCAGGAGAACACGGGUUCGAUCCCUGUGUCGGGAA